rnacentral:rRNA from 1 species
CCCUAUGGGGCGCAGCCGAGGCCAAAGCCGUGAGCAAAACGAUACACGCCGCAGCAACAACAGCAUAAAUAAUAAUUUUUUUCUUUUUCAUAUUUUUAUCUCCCUGGAAUUUGCUUUGUUGACUAAAAAGUAAAGAAAUUUGUUUGUGAAGUCAAUAUUUAUAUAGAUACACAAUAGUAUACUUAACGAAUACAACUUGAAAAAUUCAGUCCUUUUGAGUUAAGCAUUAUUCCGCGAAAAAAAAAUAUUUAAGAAGCAGGAGCGAAAUGUAAUGAAGGUAUUAGUUAAAAAAGGAAAGCUUCAGGAUAUAACAAGCCAGACGGUUAUUUUGGCUUUAUUUCAAGAUCAAAAGGAAUUGGCGGGGGGGC